AAAUAACGGUAAGUAAUUGUCCUAGUUUAAGCACGUUUAUUCCAUCUAAGCUGAACACACCUAAGCUAGAGGGAGUAUACAAUGGUGAAGAAAUGUGUCCUUGGAUGGGAGACAUAAAUGCCACCAUAGAGCAUCUUCAAAGGAAAGGAAAAGUAGGUGAAUCAUGAGACACAGCAAGAAGAGCAAAUUGAGACUAUUGAGAAGGAUAUGUGAUGCUGGGCAAGACAUACAGUAGGUUAUAUCAACUACAUGAUGUUCAACCUCAAGUUAGUAAGAGAAGAUGACACUGGGAUAUAUGAAGAAGGAAGCAGUUUCACAAAACUUAUGAGAAGCACAUCUAAAGCCAUGCUCAUU